UACGUAGGGUGCGAGCGUUAAUCGGAAUUACUGGGCGUAAAGCGUGCGCAGGCGGUUAUGUAAGACAGAUGUGAAAUCCCCGGGCUCAACCUGGGAACUGCAUUUGUGACUGCAUCGCUGGAGUGCGGCAGAGGGGGAUGGAAUUCCGCGUGUAGCGGUGAAAUGCGCAGAUAUCAGGAGGAACACCGGUGGCGAAGGCGGGUCUCUGGGCAAUUCCUGACGCUGAGGCGCGAAAGCGUGGGGAGCAAACGGG
rnacentral:rRNA from 1 species